rnacentral:rRNA from 1 species
UACAGAGGUCCCAAGCGUUGUUCGGAUUCACUGGGCGUAAAGGGUGCGUAGGUGGCGAGGUAAGUCGGAUGUGAAAGCUCGGAGCUCAACUCCGAAAUGGCAUUGGAAACUACCUUGCUCGAGGGUUGGAGGGGGGACUGGAAUGCUUGGUGUAGCAGUGAAAUGCGUAGAUAUCAAGAGGAACACCUGAGGUGAAGACGGGUUGCUGGGCUGACACUGACGCUGAGGCGCGAAAGCCAGGGGAGCAAACGGG